rnacentral:rRNA from 1 species
CAGUAGCGCGGUAAUACGGAGGGUGCAAGCGUUAAUCGGAAUUACUGGGCGUAAAGCGCACGCAGGCGGUCUGACAAGUCAGAUGUGAAAUCCCCGGGCUUAACCUGGGAACUGCAUUUGAAACUGUCAGGCUGGAGUCUUGUAGAGGGGGGUGGAAUUCCAGGUGUAGCGGUGAAAUGCGUAGAGAUCUGGAGGAAUACCGGUGGCGAAGGCGGCCCCCUGGACAAAGACUGACGCUCAGGUGCGAAAGCGUGGGGAGCAAACAGGAUUAGAUACCCGUGUAGUCCCUGUCUCUUAUACC